rnacentral:rRNA from 1 species
UACGUAGGGUCCGAGCGUUGUCCGGAAUUAUUGGGCGUAAAGGGCUCGUAGGCGGUUUGUCGCGUCGGGAGUGAAAACUCAGGGCUCAACCCUGAGCGUGCUUCCGAUACGGGCAGACUAGAGGUAUGCAGGGGAGAACGGAAUUCCUGGUGUAGCGGUGGAAUGCGCAGAUAUCAGGAGGAACACCGAUGGCGAAGGCAGGUCUCUGGGCCAUAACUGACGCUGAGAAGCGAAAGCAUGGGGAGCGAACAGG